GACGAACGUUUGCGGCGUGCUUAACACAUGCAAGUCGAACGGAAAGGCCCUGCUUUUGUGGGGUGCUCGAGUGGCGAACGGGUGAGUAACACGUGAGUAACCUGCCCUUGACUUUGGGAUAACUUCAGGAAACUGGGGCUAAUACCGGAUAGGAGCUCCUGCUGCAUGGUGGGGGUUGGAAAGUUUCGGCGGUUGGGGAUGGACUCGCGGCUUAUCAGCUUGUUGGUGGGGUAGUGGCUUACCAAGGCUUUGACGGGUAGCCGGCCUGAGAGGGUGACCGGCCACAUUGGGACUGAGAUACGGCCCAGACUCCUACGGGAGGCAGCAGUGGGGAAUAUUGCACAAUGGGCGGAAGCCUGAUGCAGCAACGCCGCGUGCGGGAUGACGGCCUUCGGGUUGUAAACCGCUUUCGCCUGUGACGAAGCGUGAGUGACGGUAAUGGGUAAAGAAGCACCGGCUAACUACGUGCCAGCAGCCGCGGUGAUACGUAGGGUGCGAGCGUUGUCCGGAUUUAUUGGGCGUAAAGGGCUCGUAGGUGGUUGAUCGCGUCGGAAGUGUAAUCUUGGGGCUUAACCCUGAGCGUGCUUUCGAUACGGGUUGACUUGAGGAAGGUAGGGGAGAAUGGAAUUCCUGGUGGAGCGGUGGAAUGCGCAGAUAUCAGGAGGAACACCAGUGGCGAAGGCGGUUCUCUGGGCCUUUCCUGACGCUGAGGAGCGAAAGCGUGGGGAGCGAACAGGCUUAGAUACCCUGGUAGUCCACGCUGUAAACGGUGGGUACUAGGUGUGGGGUCCAUUCCACGGGUUCCGUGCCGUAGCUAACGCUUUAAGUACCCCGCCUGGGGAGUACGGCCGCAAGGCUAAAACUCAAAGGAAUUGACGGGGCCCCGCACAAGCGGCGGAGCAUGCGGAUUAAUUCGAUGCAACGCGUAGAACCUUACCUGGGUUUGACAUGGAUCGGGAGUGCUCAGAGAUGGGUGUGCCUCUUUUGGGGUCGGUUCACAGGUGGUGCAUGGCUGUCGUCAGCUCGUGUCGUGAGAUGUUGGGUUAAGUCCCGCAACGAGUGCAACCCUUGUUCACUGUUGCCAGCACGUUAUGGUGGGGACUCAGUGGAGACCGCCGGGGUCAACUCGGAGGAAGGUGGGGAUGACGUCAAGUCAUCAUGCCCCUUAUGUCCAGGGCUUCACGCAUGCUACAAUGGCUGGUACAGAGAGUGGCGAGCCUGUGAGGGUGAGCGAAUCUCGGAAAGCCGGUCUCAGUUCGGAUUGGGGUCAGCAACUCGACCUCAUGAAGUCGGAGUCGCUAGUAAUCGCAGAUCAGCAACGCUGCGGUGAAUACGUUCCCGGGGCU
rnacentral:rRNA from 1 species